AAAUAGAGUUUAAUAUAUAUUAAUACAAAUGUAGAAUGUGUUUAGAAAUAUUAAAACAACACUAAAGAUCAUAGGCCUCAGUAUAAAGAGCAUUUACCAAAAAAUUCAAUAUUUUCGUAGAGGGUUAACACAUAAAUUUUGAGAAAAUUUCAAAAAUAUGAAAAUAAUGUUUUGCAUAGUUUCAUCCUUCAAUAAGAUAUGAUGAAAUUCAAAGAGGUUUAGAAUUUUUGUUGUUUCCAUUUUUCCACAUAAUAGCAAUUUUAUAGUGGUUAUUCUAUCAAUUUAGGGAGUAUUAUAAAGUUUUACUAAAUUAAUUGACAAAAAAUUAAAAGGAUGUUCAUAUACCAUGAAAGAGAUUUUAACAUACAUUACUAAAAAUGUAUAAUGUGUUUAGAAAAUUUAAAACAACACUAAAGAUCAUAAGCAUCAGUAUAUAUGGAAUUUACCGAAAACUUCAAUAUUCUCGUUGGGGUUAACACAUAUAUUUUGAGAAAAAUUAAAAAUAUGAAAAUAAUGUUUUUAUGCAUAGUUGAAUCCUUCACUAACAUAUGAUGAAGGUCAAAGAGGUUUGGAAUCUUUGCUGUCUCCGUUUUUCUAGAGAAUAACGAUUUUAUAGUGGUAUUCCACUAAUUUAGGGAGUAUUAUGAAGUUUUACUAAAUUAAUUGACAAAAAAAAUUAAAACGAUGUCCAUGUACCAUGAAAGAGAGUUUAAUAUACAUUAAUACAAAUUUAUAAUGUGUUUAGAAAUUUUAAAACAACACUAAAGAUCAUAGGCUUCAGUAUAUAAAGCAUUUACCGAAAAAUUCAAUAAUUUCGUAGGGGUUAACACAUAGAUUUUGAGAAAAAUUCAAAAAUAUGAAAAUUCUGUUUUAAUGCAUAGUUGCAUCUUUCAUUAACAUAUUAACAAAGUCAUAGAGGUUUGAAAUCUUUGAUGUCUCCGUUUUUCAAAAGAAUAGCGAUUUUAUAGUGAUUAGUCCACCAAUUUAGGGAGUAUUAUGCAGUUUUACUAAAUUAAUUGACAAAAAAUGAAAACGAUGCCCAUGUACCAUGAAAAACAGUUUAAUAUACAUUACUACAAAUUUAGAAUGUGUUUAGAAAUUUUAAAACUACACUAAAGAUUAUAGGCUUCAGUAUAUAGAACAUUCACCGAAAAACUCAAUAUUUUCGUAGGGGUUAACACAUAGAUUUUGAGAAAAAUUCAAAAAUAUUACAAUAAUAGUUUAAUGCAUAGUUACAUCCUUCACUAACUUAUGAUGAAGUUCAAAAACGUUUAAAACUUUUGUUGCCUCCGUUUUUCUAUAUAAUAGCGAUUUUGUGGUGGUUAUGCCAUCAAUUUAGGGAGUAUUAUGAAGUUUUUCUAUAUUAAUUGACAAAAAAUUAAAACUAUGCCCAUGUACCAUGGGAGAGAGUUUAAUAUACAUUAAUACAAAUUUAUAAUGUGUUUAGAAAUUUUAAAACAAAACUAAAGAUCAUAGGCUUCAGUAUAUAGAACAUUUACCGAAAAACUCAAUAUAUUCGUAUGGGUUAACAAAUAGAUUUUGACAAAAAUUCAAAAAUAUGAAAAUUCUGUUUUAAUGUAUAGUUUCAUCCCUCACUAAUAUGUGAUGAAGCUCAAGGAGGUUUGAAACCUUUGUUGUCUCCGUUUUUCUAGAGAAUAACGAUUUUAUAUUGGCUAGUCCAUCAAUUUAGGAGUAUUAUGAAGUUUUACUAAAUUAAUUGACAAGAAAAUUAAAACGAUGCCCAUGUACCAUGAAAUAGAUUUUAAUAUACAUUACAACAAAUUUAGAAUGUGUUUAUAAAUUUUAAAACAACACUAAAGAUCAUCGGCUUUAGUAUAUAGAACAUUUACCGAAAAACACAAUAUUUUCGUACGGGGUUAAAAACAUAGAUUUUGAAAAAAAUUCAAAAAUAUGAAAAUUCUGUUUUAAUGCAUAUUUACAUCCUUCAUUAACAUAUGAAGAAGGUCAUAGAGGUUUGGAACCUUUGUUCUCUCUGUUUUUCAAGAGAAUAACGAUUUUAUAAUGGUUAGUCCACCAAUUUAGAGAGUAUUAUGAAGCUUUACUAAAUUAAUUGACAAAAAAAUGAAAUCGAUGCCCAUGUACCAUGGAAGAGAGUUUAAUAUAGAUUAA